UACGAAGGGGGCUAGCGUUGCUCGGAAUGACUGGGCGUAAAGGGCGCGUAGGCGGAUGGCUUUGUCGGGCGUGAAAUUCCAGGGCUUAACCUUGGGGCUGCGUUCGAGACGGGUUGUCUUGAGUGGGGAAGAGGGUCGUGGAAUUCCCAGUGUAGAGGUGAAAUUCGUAGAUAUUGGGAAGAACACCGGUGGCGAAGGCGGCUCACUGGCCCGAUACUGACGCUGAGGCACGAAAGCGUGGGGAGCGAACAGG
rnacentral:rRNA from 1 species